GCGGAUGUGGUGGAAUUGGUAGACACGCACGCUUGAGGGGCGUGUGGCGUUAGCCUUGCGAGUUCGAGUCUCGCCAUCCGCA
rfam:Geitlerinema sp. PCC 7407, complete genome.